rnacentral:rRNA from 1 species
CCUACGGGAGGCAGCAGUGGGGGAUAUUGCACAAUGGGGGAAACCCUGAUGCAGCGACGCCGCGUGGGUGAAGAAGCGCCUCGGCGCGUAAAGCCCUGUCAGCAGGGAAGAAAAUGACGGUACCUGAAGAAGAAGCCCCGGCUAACUACGUGCCAGCAGCCGCGGUAAUACGUAGGGGGCAAGCGUUAGCCGGAUUUACUGGGUGUAAAGGGGGCGGAGACGGCGAUGCAAGCCAGGAGUGAAAGCCCGGGGCCCAACCCCGGGACGGCUCUUGGAACUGCGUGGCUAGAGUGCAGGAGGGGCAGGCGGAAUGCCUGGUGUAGCGGUGAAAUGCGUAGAGAUCAGGAGGAACACCGGUGGCGAAGGCGGCCUGCUGGACUGCAACUGACGUUGAGGCCCGAAAGCGUGGGGAGCAAACAGGAUUAGAUACCCUGGUAGUC